UCGUCCCUUGAUCCGUCCCCGCCCUGUGUCGCCUUCCUAGUCUCUGCGCAGUGAGAGGGUGCCCGCCCUUUUUGUCCCGGGAGGUUGACGGGAGGAUCCGCUUCUACAUCUUAGCGGGUUCCUGGUCGGCCUCGCCAGCGGGUGCAGGAACCCGGACCAGGGUCCCCCAAGUUUUUCUGCUGCAUAUGCGGAGAUCAGCGGCUAGGAGUUCAAGUGCAGGGUGAAUGCUGCCUGUACAAGCCACUAAAGCGGGGGUACUCGUGCUGGUAUUUCAGCCGACACCAGUUGUCACUAUAGUUAAAAGGGAAAAGUGCCUCUAAUGAGGUGAGACAUUAAGUACCAGGUGUGGCUAAAAAAACAGUGAAUGUUGUUGGAUGGCAUUCGGCCAUCCAAAAGGACAGGGAUCUUCAAUAGAAGAGUACGUCGAACCUUAGUAAUAGUGUGUGACGCCUUUCAACUUGCUUGGGGCAGUCAGUCUGAGCCACGGUUGAGAGGAGUGUUUUUUUGAAAGUCCCAUAAAUGAUGGAUCAUGAGCAACGUAUUAACAUGAAAUUUUGUUUCAAACUGCAAAAAAGUGCUAAAGAAACACAUGAAAUGUUAAAAUUAGUGUAUGGCGAUGCCGCAGUGACCAGAAAGACUGUUUACAAGUGGUUUGAGCGAUUUCGUAAGGGUUGUGAAUCUGUGAACGACGAGGAGAGAUCCGGACGUCCUUCAACGUCAAAAACCCGAGAAAAUGUUGAAAGAGUAAGCGAAAUGAUUCGUUCAAACAAGAGAUUGACUAUUAGGAAAAUUUCUGAGGAUCUGAACAUUUCUUAUGGUACUGUACAAAGCAUUUUAACAACAGAUUUGAACAUGAGGCGAGUGAGUCCGAAAUGUAUCCAUACACAGCCACAGGAGUUGGAGCAGUAAGGCAGUGCCGCUGGUGACGGCAUCGUUUUGCAUUUACCUUACUGACUCUGAGGUAGGUACUUUUCUCCCGUGUUAGAGAUAAAGAAAUGGUCAGGAGGGAACUCGGGAUCCCACUACCUAUGAGUAGCUCUGAGCAAGGAGCCUCACGUGUGACUUUGUGUCUAUGUGAGUAAGGUGAUGCCUUGACAUUUGAUGUCUCAGUAUAACAGUAGAUAUUUAUUUAAGCAGAUUAAUCCAGUUUGGGGGGAGCAAAACCACACAGCUGUUAAGUUAUAAGCACUUCAUAUUUUUUUCCUGGUAUCAGGGAUUGAACUCAGACUCUUGCACUUGCAAGGCAGGCGUGAUGCCACUGACCUAAAGCCCUGGC